GUUGCAUGGCUGUCGUCAGCUCGUGUCGUGAGAUGUUCGGUUAAGUCCGCUAACGAGCGCAACCCUCGUCGUAUGUUAUAUGUGUCAUACGAGACUGCCGGUAAAAAAGCCGGAGGAAGGUGAGGAUGAUGUCAAGUCAGCAUGACCUUUAUAUCCAGGGCUACACACACGCUACAAUGGUCUGUACAAUGGGUAGCCAAGCCGCGAGGCGGAGCCAAUCCUGAAAGCAGGCCUCAGUUCAGAUUGCAGUCUGCAACUCGACUGCAUGAAGCCGGAGUUGCUAGUAACCGCAGGUCAGCAAUACUGCGGUGAAUACGUUCCCGGGUCUU
rnacentral:rRNA from 1 species